GGGGUACCGGCUUUCUCCGAGGGCCUGCCGGGGGCGCAGCAGGGCGCCGCAAACUUUACAAUGCGAGCAAUCGUGAUAAGGAAACCCUGAGUGCCUGUUGAUGCAGGCUGUUUCAUUAGUUUAAAUUUGCUAGUGAAGAAAGGGCAGGGCAAGACCGGUGCCAGCCGCCGCGGUAAUACCGGCUGCUCGAGUGAUGGCCACUAUUACUGGGUUUAAAGCGUCCGUAGCUUGAUUGUUAGGUCUCUUGGGAAAUCUUCAGGCUUAACCUUAAGGCGUCUAAGAGAUACCGGCAAUCUUGGGACUGGGAGAGGUAAACCGUACUUCGGGGGUAGGAGUGAAAUCUUGUAAUCCUCGAGGGACGACCUAUGGCGAAGGCAGUUUACCAGAACAGCUUCGACAGUGAGGGACGAAAGCUGGGGGAGCAAACGGGAUUAGAUACCCCGGUAGUCCCAGCCGUAAACAAUGUGCGUUAGGUGUAUCGGCAACCACGCGUUACUGAUGCGCCGCAGAGAAAUCGUGAAACGCACCACCUGGGAAGU
rnacentral:rRNA from 1 species